GUUGUGGAGCAACAGAGCGACAGAUGUUCAAAUCGUCGGCCAUCCACAGGCUCUGUCUCAUGGCUCCUAAACCUCAACGCUCCCGCCAUUUUGGAGAGACCGCGCUGCUGGGCACUGCAACCAAGAAGCCGAGAACUUUGACCACUGAUGCCACUGCUAGUGCCGCUGAUUCUGACUCCAAUCCGAUGAAGGACGCCUUCUCCAAAUACGCCGCCUAUCUUAAU